GCACCAGCUUCGCAAUCGGCAUCAUUGCUAAGGCCACGGAAUUGCGAAAACCUUGGCGACUGAAAUGGGAGAUGUCGGAUAAGGGGCUGAAAAAGUGGUCCGGAGACGGCAAAAAUCGUGUUCCUCUCUUUUUGCGUUCAUCUAUACCGCCAUCACAGUCGACAACGGUAGUUAUGAAAUUCAUGCUGGUCGGUUUGUAGAAGAACAAAAAUGGUAGCAGAAGAGAUGUGUUUCUUCAACAAGUUUUGAAGAAGCUGG